rnacentral:rRNA from 1 species
CACGUAGGGUGCGAGCGUUGUCCGGAAUUAUUGGGCGUAAAGAGCUCGUAGGCGGUGUGUCGCGUCGGCCGUGAAAACCUGCAGCUUAACUGUGGGCUUGCGGUCGAUACGGGCAUCACUGGAGUUCGGCAGGGGAGACUGGAAUUCUCGGUGUAGCGGUGAAAUGCGUAGAUAUCGAGAGGAACACCUGCGGCGAAGGCGGGUUGCUGGGCUGACACUGACGCUGAGGCGCGAAAGCCAGGGGAGCGAACGGG